UACGUAGGCAGCGAGCGUUGUUCGGAGUUACUGGGCGUAAAGCGUGCGUAGGCGGUGUCUUAAGUUUGUUGUGAAAUCUCCCGGCUUAACCGGGAGGGUGCGGCGAAUACUGAGAUGCUGGAGUGCCGGAGAGGUAAGCGGAAUUCCAGGUGUAGCGGUGAAAUGCGUAGAUAUCUGGAGGAACACCGGUGGCGAAGGCGGCAUCCUGGACCGAUACUGACGCUGAUGAGCGAAAGCCAGGGGAGCAAACGGG
rnacentral:rRNA from 1 species